rnacentral:rRNA from 1 species
GUAGGUGGCAAGCGUUGUCCGGAAUUAUUGGGCGUAAAGCGCGCGCAGGCGGGUUCUUUAAGUCUGAUGUGAAAGCCCACGGGCUCAACCGUGGAGGGUCAUUGGAAACUGGAGAACUUGGGUACAGAAGAGGAAAGCGGAAUUCCACGUGUAGCGGUGAAAUGCGUAGAGAUGUGGAGGAACACCAGUGGCGAAGGCGGCUUUCUGGUCUGUAACUGACGCUGAGGCGCGAAAGCGUGGGGAGCAAACAGGAUUAGAUACCCUGGUAGUCCACGCCGUAAACGAUGAGUGCUAAGUGUUAGGGGGGUUUCCGCCCCUUAGUGCUGCAGCUAACGCAUUAAACACUCCGCCUGGGGAGUACGGCCGCAAAGGCUG